GUUUUGGGGCAAAGACGGAUGAA
rnacentral:piRNA from 1 species